ACGCUGGCGGUAGGCCUAACACAUGCAAGUCGAACGGCAGCACAGUAAGAGCUUGCUCUUAUGGGUGGCGAGUGGCGGACGGGUGAGGAAUACAUCGGAAUCUACCUUUUCGUGGGGGAUAACGUAGGGAAACUUACGCUAAUACCGCAUACGACCUUCGGGUGAAAGCAGGGGACCUCCGGGCCUUGCGCGGAUAGAUGAGCCGAUGUCGGAUUAGCUAGUUGGCGGGGUAAAGGCCCACCAAGGCGACGAUCCGUAGCUGGUCUGAGAGGAUGAUCAGCCACACUGGAACUGAGACACGGUCCAGACCCCUACGGGAGGCAGCAGUGGGGAAUAUUGGACAAUGGGCGCAAGCCUGAUCCAGCCAUACCGCGUGGGUGAAGAAGGCCUUCGGGUUGUAAAGCCCUUUUGUUGGGAAAGAAAAGCAGUCGAUUAAUACUCGGUUGUUCUGACGGUACCCAAAGAAUAAGCACCGGCUAACUUCGUGCCAGCAGCCGCGGUAAUACGAAGGGUGCAAGCGUUACUCGGAAUUACUGGGCGUAAAGCGUGCGUAGGUGGUUGUUUAAGUCUGUUGUGAAAGCCCUGGG
rnacentral:rRNA from 1 species